GUCUGGCUGCAGCCCGCCUCUCUCAGUACCCUGCGCCGCUCUUCUCAGUACCCAUCCCGCAGACAGGAAAUGACGCAACACCGCAGCUCUCAGUCCCCUCAGACCGGAAAUGUCGUCAACCCUUGCGACGAAAACAAGUUACGUUAUUUCACCUCUCGCGAAAAAAACACGCUGCAAGAUCACCACCCCAUUGGGAAGAAACUAAAUCACGACCCCCAAAUGGUAGUCUUCCCAUGCAGAUACAGGGAUGUCACACAGAUCCAAAUGGAAACAUCGAACACUGUAAAACCCACUGUGCAGACAGGACCAAUGGUGACAAUAUAAGACCAUGCCGAGUUUCAUGGACGGUUCAAACUCAUCCUGCCCAGGAACGGCUGAAAACGUUGACAGUCAAUCAACAGGGGGACAUGGAAAGAGAGGAUUGGAAGUGAAAUAGAGGGUUUUUCGGGACAGCCAUAGGGGAAGGACUGUGGCAUCUUCAUGUUGAUGACUGAUAUGCCAACUCUGAGGAAGUGGUGGUGUAUAUUGCUAGCGGACAAUUUCAAACUUGGGUGCAUGGUAUAAGUCUUUGAAACUGUUGAUAUGGCAUUCAUAGGAAAGUGAGCCACAGGAAAGAGUUUGCCCAUUGGACAGAUAAGGCAAAAGCAUUACUGCAGGGUGAAGUGCCACCAGUCUAUCAGCUACAGAAGUGAAAUUUGAAUAUGAUUGCUGAGGAAGAGGUGCAACCACAGCUCCUUCAAGUUAGUGGUGGCCCACUCCAAAAAGAUAUGACGGGAAAAAAAUGUUUUGGUAAAAGGACUGUGCAAGACUGCACAAAAGCCUCGGACAGGGCUGGGGGGGGG